GACGAACGCUGGCGGCGUGCUUAACACAUGCAAGUCGAACGAAGUGGCGAACGGGUGAGUAACGCGUAAUCAACCUGCCCUUCAGAGGGGGACAACAGUUGGAAACGACUGCUAAUACCGCAUACUGAAGGAGGGGAUUGCGGCUGAUUAGCUAGUUGGGGGGGUAACGGCCCAACAAGGCGAUGAUCAUGAGCCGUAGUGAGAGGAUAAACGGACACUCUGGGACUGGAACACGGCCCAGACGCCUACGGGAGGCAGCAGUUGGGAAUCUUCCGCAAUGGACGAAAGUCUGACGGAGCAACGCCGCGUGAGUGAGGACGGCCUUCGUGUUGUAAAGCUCUGUUAAUCGGGACGCGGUACCGGAAUAGAAAGCCACGGCUAACUACGUGCCAGCAGCCGCGGUAAUAC
rnacentral:rRNA from 1 species